AUAUUUAUCAAAUUAUAAAUACAUUAAAUUAUUCUAUCAAUUAAAAAAUAAUUACUCCAUAAAAAUCUGUUGUACAAAAAUUAUAGUUUGACAAUUGCCUUAGUAACAUAACAAAUUAAAUUAACAAUUUUUGCCAUUGAGAUUUAUCUUUUAUUUAUAAAGCUCAGUAAGACUAUUUUAGUUCGACAUAAGAAGAUUAACCAACCAUUCUUAUUCACAUUCAUGGCUGCUACAUAUACCAUUCCUAAACAGUUAUAUUCAAACACAUGAACAAACUUAGUUUCCAAAAAAAAAAAAACUUAAGCAACUUGAAAAUGAUAUUCAUUCAUUAUAUUCCAAAAAGUCUUUUGCCAUUUUCUUUGCGGCUUAAGCAGCUUGUAGAAACUAGCAUUUUCAUUAAUGAAUAUUUACCAUUUAGCAAAAAAAAAACUUACUUUAUCAUUAAUCUAAUAUAAUCUAGUUCACUAAAAUUUGCACCAAAAUUUUGUUAAAAAUUUGGGGGAACAAAAAUACCAUAUCUAGCUUCUACGUCUAACUGCAUCACCAGAGUCGUCCUAUGAAAAUCCACGUCCUAUAAAUAAGGAUGUGUUCCUCCGUGAAGCUCAAUCCUCCUUAGACUCUGAAACAGCCACCUUGAACCUUUUGUUAUCCGACUUGAAAGCCAGUUGUUGUGCCAACACCGUUGAAGCCCGACUUUUUGGGUUUACCUGCUCAUCAUCGGAGAAGAUAAUUCCAAUGAACAAAUUAAAUUUAUGGUUUUUCAGAAACAGCCUAAGCUUAUCCACGGCUCUGUGAACACGCGCAUGCUUAACACCUCUAAACAUAUGUGAGGGUUCAACCUUCUCGUUUAACAGGUUUGACAUCACACGGAUUAACAAUAACUCUGUCACUCACCUCUUUCCACAAGUUUCAGUGACUUACUUCUUUUGUUGAGAUACUUUAUCCGGAAGAUCAUGUUUGAAGGUUAAGAUCCGAUGUAUUUAUUUGUACAAAGACAGAGAUUGG
rnacentral:lncRNA from 1 species